GAUGAAGAACGCAGCGAAAUGCGAUAAGUAAUGUGAAUUGCAGAAUUCAGUGAAUCAUCGAGUCUUUGAACGCACAUUGCGCCCGCCAGUAUUCUGGCGGGCAUGCCUGUUCGAGCGUCAUUUCAACCAUCAAGCCCUGCUUGCGUUGGGGUCCUGCGGCUGCCCGCAGGCCCUGAAAACCAGUGGCGGGCUCGCUAGUCACACCGAGCGCAGUAAUACAUCUCGCUUUGGGCGUGCGGCGGGUUCUUGCCGUUAAACACCCCCUUUUUACCAAGGUUGACCUCGGAUCAGGUAGGAAUACCCGCUGAACUUAAGCAUAUCAAUAAGCGGAGGA
rnacentral:misc_RNA from 1 species